AUUGAACGCUGGCGGCAGGCUUAACACAUGCAAGUCGAGCGGGGUGAUGGUGCUUGCACUAUCACUUAGCGGCGGACGGGUGAGUAAUGCUUAGGAAUCUGCCUAUUAGUGGGGGACAACAUCUCGAAAGGGAUGCUAAUACCGCAUACGUCCUACGGGAGAAAGCAGGGGAUCACUUGUGACCUUGCGCUAAUAGAUGAGCCUAAGUCGGAUUAGCUAGUUGGUGGGGUAAAGGCCUACCAAGGCGACGAUCUGUAGCGGGUCUGAGAGGAUGAGCCGCCAACCUGGGAAUGGGACACGGCCCAGACUCCUACGGGAGGCAGCAGUGGGGAAUAUUGGAAAAUGGGGGGAACCCUGAUCCAGCCAUGCCGGGUGUGUGAAGAAGGCCUUAUGGUUGUAAAGCACUUUAAGCGAGGAGGAGGCUCUUUUGGUUAAUACCCAAGAUGAGUGGACGUUACUCGCAGAAUAAGCACCGGCUAACUCUGUGCCAGCAGCCGCCGUAA
rnacentral:rRNA from 1 species